UUCAAAAUUUUUGAUUUAGUUAAGAUUUUAUGCAGUUUUUGCAUUAAUACAUGGUCCAGAAAAUCAUUGAGUUGUUUCAUCCAAGUUACCUUUGUUCUCUAGUAGAUAGUAUAUAUUUUGCCCAUAAGAAUAUUGCUUCAACUUUACCAAUUGUGUAGAACAGGUCAACAAUAGCAAUGUGGAUGAUACCUUGAGGUUACACCUUUAACCGUUUUGUAAGAGAGAAACCAGGAACAAAAAUUUUCAACCAAAUGAAGAAGUUGCCAUAGAUAUCGAGAUGUAUACAUUUGGCACAGCCCACAGUGAUUAGCUUAAACUGCACUAAGAGAAAAACAUGUUGUAUUAUGUGUUUUCAUAAUGAUGGACAAGACUAUUUAAUUUGGCUCUGAACACAAGAUAGUUGUAAAUAUGUAAUUUUACAUUGAGAGAAAGACUUGGAGUUCUUGGAUAAUCUUCACCAAACCAGCUGAGAAAUGUGGUGGACUUAUAGUUUCAUUGGAUAUCUGGCCAAUUAUUUUAUCAACAGCUUGAUGAAUAUACAUUCUCUGGAGAAUUUUGGAAAUGAAGAGGUGCAUGAAUCUAAAUUUCAAAUGGACAGCAACUGCCUGUUGUAGAAACCUACAAAUGUAGAGGAUGACGUUUCGAAAGUCUUCCGCCUUUUGUCUUCAGGUGCAUUCUAAUAAAACUGCUACGCAAAUAUAAACAAUGUUUCUUCUCAGAAUUUCCACUGUGGUUAAUCCAUUCAGCAUGAAUAUCUUUCAGUCUGCAGCAUAAAGUUGCAGAAAAUGUUAUGUAUAGUUGUCUUUUUAUUUGAUGAUAAUAAUAAUAAUUAUGUUUAUGCUUUAACUGAUGUUUCUGUCCUUAAGAUGAAGCAUGAAACAAAACUUCUUUAAUGUUUUGGCAGUGUGUGCAGCAGCACCAGCUCUUCAGUUACUUUGGGACACUAUGUUAACCAUUAAACUUGGCUUAAAAUACUUUUGACAAAGAUGUUGGUCGUAGACAUAUGCUAAUACAGAAUUACUACAAAUGUCUUGAAAGAACUGUGAAUUUUUAUGAAUACCCCAAGAAGACACAAAAGCUAAAACUUUAGAAAUAUAAGUAUGGGCUAAUAUUUAAAAACCUACAUUAUAAUUGUACCUAAUAUUCAAAACCUUUUACUUUUUGUUUUACAUUUAUUACAUAAUAAUGUUUAAUAAUCUAAAAAUGUUGCACCCUGCAUGCUCAGUAGGUAUCUCCUAUAAAUAUUGGUUAUGU